GCAGGGGUGGCAGAGUGGUCAAAUGCGCCCGGCUUGAGACCGGGUUCCCGAAAGGGAGCGCGAGUUCGAAUCUCGUCCCCUGCGCCA
rnacentral:tRNA from 1 species